UACGAAGGGGGCUAGCGUUGCUCGGAAUCACUGGGCGUAAAGGGUGCGUAGGCGGGUCUUUAAGUCAGGGGUGAAAUCCUGGAGCUCAACUCCAGAACUGCCUUUGAUACUGAAGAUCUUGAGUCCGGGUGAGGUGAGUGGAACUGCGAGUGUAGAGGUGAAAUUCGUAGAUAUUCGCAAGAACACCAGUGGCGAAGGCGGCUCACUGGCCCGGUACUGACGCUGAGGCACGAAAGCGUGGGGAGCAAACAGG
rnacentral:rRNA from 1 species